GAAUGAAUAGCUUAAACAUUAAUAAAGCAUAACACUGAAAAUGUUAAACUGUCAGUAAAAGACUUCACUCG
rnacentral:tRNA from 1 species